GACGAACGCUGGCGGCGUGCUUAACACAUGCAAGUCGAACGGGAAGGCCCUGCUUGCAGGGUGCUCGAGUGGCGAACGGGUGAGUAACACGUGGGUGAUCUGCCCCUUACUUUGGGAUAAGCCUGGGAAACUGGGUCUAAUACUGGAUAGGACCAUGCUGUAGGUGGUGUGGUGGAAAGAUUAGUUUCGGUAAGGGAUGAGCUCGCGGCCUAUCANCUUGUUGGUGGGGUAAUGGCCUACCAAGGCGUCGACGGGUAGCCGGCCUGAGAGGGUGGACGGCCACAUUGGGACUGAGAUACGGCCCAGACUCCUACGGGAGGCAGCAGUGGGGAAUAUUGCACAAUGGGCGCAAGCCUGAUGCAUCGACGCCGCGUGGGGGAUGACGGCCUUCGGGUUGUAAACUCCUUUCAGCCAAUGACAAAACCCUUGUGGUGACCGUAGUGGUACAAUAAACACCGGCUAACUACGUGCCAGCAGCCGCGGUAAUACGUAGGGUGCGAGCGUUGUCCGGAAUUACUGGGCGUAAAGAGCUCGUACGUGGUCUGUCGCGUCAUUUGUGAAAGCCCGGGGCUUUAACUCCGGGUUGGCAGGUGAUACGGGCAUGACUGGAGUACUGUAGGGGAGACUGGAAUUCCUGGUGUAGCGGUGAAAUGCGCAGAUAUCAGGAGGAACACCGGUGGCGAAGGCGGGUCUCUGGGCAGUAACUGACGCUGAGGAGCGAAAGCAUGGGUAGCGAACAGGAUUAGAUACCCUGGUAGUCCAUGCCGUAAACGGUGGGCGCUAGGUGUGGGUUUCCUUCCACGGGAUCCGUGCCGUAGCUAACGCAUUAAGCGCCCCGCCUGGGGAGUACGGCCGCAAGGCUAAAACUCAAAGGAAUUGACGGGGGCCCGCACAAGCGGCGGAGCAUGUGGAUUAAUUCGAUGCAACGCGAAGAACCUUACCUGGGCUUGACAUGCACUGGAUGCGGCCAGAGAUGGUUGUUCCCUUUGUGGCUGGUGUGCAGGUGGUGCAUGGUUGUCGUCAGCUCGUGUCGUGAGAUGUUGGGUUAAGUCCCGCAACGAGCGCAACCCUUGUCUCGUGUUGCCAGCAUUUGGUUGGGGACUCGCGGGAGACUGCCGGGGUUAACUCGGAGGAAGGUGGGGAUGACGUCAAAUCAUCAUGCCCCUUAUGUCCAGGGCUUCACACAUGCUACAAUGGCUGGUACAGAGAGUUGCGAUACCGUGAGGUGGGGCUAAUCUCGUAAAGCCAGUCUCAGUUCGGAUUGGAGUCUGCAACUCGACUCCAUGAAGUCGGAGUCGCUAGUAAUCGCAGAUCAGCAAUGCUGCGGUGAAUACGUUCCCGGGCCU
rnacentral:rRNA from 1 species